AAAUGGAAACAAAGACCACUCCGUUCCAUUAUCUAUUGAAUAAUCUGGUUUAUUGUGAUGAGAACAUUGUCAGAUAAUUAAUAGGGGGCCAUUAACCUCCAAUUGGAAGCGUGAUGACAGGAUCAAGUGGAUAACAAAGGAAUCACAGGUGGAGCCCUACAAAGUUGAUUAAAAGGUUCCAUUUUGCUGGUUCGGUCGUCUUCCACCGAAGAAACUCAAUUUUGAAAACAGUAAGUGCUGACUGAAGCAAAGAUAACCCCAAGACCUCCUAAUCAAUAACCUCACUAUCUAAACCGAGAAUGAACAGCAUAAGAAAGAAAAGAAUAGACCAAAGUUGUGGCACUGGAAGCCUAAGCAAAGCCUCUGGGU